UUCGGAAGGGGUGUAUUUAUUAGAUAAAAAACCAAUGCCCUUCGGGGCUCCUUGGUGAUUCAUAAUAACUUCUCAGAUCGCAUGGCCUUGCGCCGGCGACGGUUCAUUCAAAUUUCUGCCCUAUCAACUUUCGAUGGUAAGGUAUUGGCUUACCAUGGUUUCAACGGGUAACGGGGAAUUAGGGUUCGAUUCCGGAGAGGGAGCCUGAGAAACGGCUACCACAUCCAAGGAAGGCAGCAGGCGCGCAAAUUACCCAAUCCCGACACGGGGAGGUAGUGACAAUAAAUACUGAUACAGGGCUCUUUUGGGUCUUGUAAUUGGAAUGAGUACAAUUUAAACCUCUUAACGAGGAACAAUUGGAGGGCAAGUCUGGUGCCAGCAGCCGCGGUAAUUCCAGCUCCAAUAGCGUAUAUUAAAGUUGUUGCAGUUAAAAAGCUCGUAGUUGAACCUUUGGCCUGGCUGGCAGGUCCGCCUCACCGCGUGCACUUGUCCGGCCGGGCCUUCUCUUCUGGAGAACCGCAUGCCCUUCACUGGGUGUGUUGGGGACCAGGACUUUUACUUUGAAAAAAUUAGAGUGUUCAAAGCAGGCCUUUGCUCGAAUACGUUAGCAUGGAAUAAUAGAAUAGGACGUGCGGUCCUAUUUUGUUGGUUUCUAGGACCGCCGUAAUGAUUAAUAGGGACAGUCGGGGGCAUCAGUAUUCAAUUGUCAGAGGUGAAAUUCUUGGAUUUAUUGAAGACUAACUACUGCGAAAGCAUUUGCCAAGGAUGUUUUCAUUAAUCAGUGAACGAAAGUUAGGGGAUCGAAGACGAUCAGAUACCGUCGUAGUCUUAACCAUAAACUAUGCCGACUAGGGAUCGGGCGG
rnacentral:rRNA from 1 species